AAACCUAAACCCCUACAUGUCCAGAUCUGAAUCUGCCUCUUCCCUUCCCUUUGAAUCUCAGCCGUCUCAUUUUCCCUUUUUCGAGGUCUCCUCCUCUCAAAUUCAGGAGGUCUCCAUCGCCGAUACCUCCCCACUCCAUCUCCGUCCAACGCUCCGGUGGAUUUACCAAUUCCUUCUUCUCCUCCCGCACCACUGCAAUCGACUCCAUCGCCGUCGCCUGACAGCGAACCUUACGUUCCCGCUCCGGCACCGCCGGAUCAUAGCGACAUCAACAACGAUGACAUCAACGUCGACGGCGACGGAAUUGAGAACUCCUCAAGGGGAGGUAUGAGCGAGGGAAAGAUGGCGGGGAUUGCGUCUGGAGUCAUCGUCGGAGUCGGUUUAGUAUGGCUCAGAAGAUUUUCUGGAGCGAGAUUGUCCCCGACCACUCCAAGCUCUCUAAAAUCUUUAUGUAAUUAGGGAUUCGCGAUCGUUCGAAUUGCAGUUCCAGAACCAGACGGAGGACGAGCGCAAGUGGGGAGAGGGAGUGCGUCAUCGGCGCCGUUGAUUUGGAUCUCAUCGCAGAUUUCCCAGAAGAUUUCGAUCUCACCACAGAUUUGUACAGAAGGGAAGACGAUGAGAGGGGAGCGAAGAAGGAGCGAAAUGGGAGGAAGACGACUUUGUAAUAGACCCCUCAAAUACAACUAGGUUUAAAAUAUCGUUGAUAUCGGAAAUAUCGGUAGUCUAAAAACAUGAAAAUUUGGAUGGAAAUAUUGAGAUAUUAUCGAUAUCAAUAAAAAUUGAAUAAAAAUCACGAAAAUUGUAAGAAAAACUUGGAAUUUUUUUU